AGAUGCUGUUGAUCAUCUGAUUCUGGGAUCUCUAAAGCAGGGGAUUUCGGAAGUUGUUAAUUCCCCGAGAAUUUGUUGAUCUUGUUCUUUAUCUGUGGGUUGGAAGAUGGAUGUUUUAAUGGUACGUGCGUUGGUAUGGGUUGGAAGAUGGCUCAUCAUCACUGCCCAUGUCGUCUGUCUCCAAGUCUUGCAUCGUACUGACUCCCUCUGUGAUCUUUGAUGUGUCGUCGACAUUCUUGCUCGAACCCUACUUCCUCUGUCGUCGUUCUUCCUCGGCUGGUUCGCAGGUUAAACAGGAAGCCUCCCUCCUGUGUAGUCAUGGAGUUUUACAUCGCCAAAAAAAAAAAUGGGGAAAGAGAAGAAUACUUCUAUCUUCAGAAGAAUGAAACAAGCGUCCAUAGAGGAAAAAAAAAAAAGGUUUUCUCAAACUCUGAUUUACAGAACAGGAAAGCACUGUGGGAGUUUGGCAGGUUGGUUUCAUGGCUGAGGCUGCGCUUUCCAUGCUGAUGAAAUAUCGGCAACGGCCUCGCCAACUGAGAGAUAG